rnacentral:rRNA from 1 species
CCACAGACAUUAGCGACAGUCCGUCGUGCAAGAUGAUUACAAUCACGUUUCCCCUGUUGAUUUUUACCACCUUUUAGAGUCUGAGAAUGACAGGUUUACUGAUGACUACUCAACUUCUUCACCGAAGCCAAGUUCCUUCCUUAGUAACUACUUUCCAGUUGUUGGUUCUAUAAACGAUGUAGACGAUUGGGGAUACCAUUAUGAAGCUUUAAACACUUUCCUUCAAUAAAACUCCGACCAUGUGUCACCAAUUAUCUGAGACCACGCAGAUUUGUAUACCAGCCAAGCAUAUUCCUAAAGACGUCAAUAUGAGGACUAAAAUGUCCCGUUUUACACUCUGAACGACUACCAAGACCGGUCUCAUAAUCCCCCCAUCCUUGUCAAUUUACAACGGGUUUAUACUGAGAUAGUAGACAAAAUGUACAAGGGAGUAAGGGUUAAUUAAAUGAUAGGUAGUCGACGUAAUGUUCUCUUGAAUUAACACGACAUUAGAAGAAGGGUUGUACCACAAAUAAAGACCUUGAACCCUGAACCUUUUAGGAACCCUGUCCUUAAUACGCUCCACCAGAUAUGAUGAACCUACUACUAUACCGUGGAUACCGACGACGACACGACAGAGUCAGUGGUAACCUUCUUAAAGAAGAAGUAGUAGCGUCCGACCCUGUGUACAGGAAAUUGUGGGACCCAGUCAAUAUAGGAUUAGAGAUAUUAUUUUAAACGUUACUUUCGGAUCAUACACUACGGACAGUCAUACCCUUCGAUUGGGCAUCAUAUAUAUGAGGUAGACUAGUGUCUUCAUGUCACGGUAAAGUUUGAUAGGUGAGUCUACACACCCCAGGAUCACCCCACACCAGUGAAAUACCUAUGUUUAAAAAACAAUGUAAAUAACUGACAACGUGAUCCUGGUGAACCCAAAUACAUGACUCUUUAUUUUCACUGCAUAAACUUACGAAAUUCCUAAAGGUGUUGAAUUAGUUUUUAGUUAUACUACGUGCUCACUUUUAUAAAGCUUGACUGUUACCAUGUCUUAUACAUUUAUUGGUUAAACUACUCAUAAACAGUUCGAAACCUUAAUAGGUAGUUUGAUCAACGGGUCCAUGAAGGGUCGUCUUACCCAACCGACUUUCCUUUUCGUCUGUAGAGAAUCUUUAGUGGGCCACAUAGCACAAUCGAUACUUACAAGGAUUUAUAAACACCCGACUUCGACACUACUGUCGCCGAAUAAACUACUUAUCUUACGGUAGAGCCCACGAGUUAUUGUUCUGUGGCUAACUCACAGAUUGACCACUUUGAUGUAUACAACACGGUGGUUUCCAUAAACCUACACAUACAAAACACUCCCUAGUAUCUGGUAGCCAACCGUUCGAACUGGGAUCUCGUCACUUUACACAUAAACACCCUAUGAGACCUUUUGUUUUCCCAAUAUUUACAACCACGGGUAGUCUUUUUGCCUACAAACACUCGUACCUACAUCACAGGUCCCUUGUACUUGGUAUAAUACCCCUUGGCCAUCUAAAUUGACUACAGAAGGGACUACUACAAUGUCCGGACCUGUUGCUCUGUCCCCCUCUGCUGUCGUCUCUUCCGUUACUACAUCGUGAUCUCUUCUACUAUCAACCCCAAUAUGGAUAACUUCUACACGUUCUGCUACGUCCCGUUCUUUUACUUGUCUCUCUUGUUGUUUCACUGAGAUUACCUCGUAAUGUUACCGGUUUUGGCUUACUCCUUGCUCUUCAAGUUCACAAAUGUGCCUCCGUAUCUACCGGUUUUGGUUUACUCCUUGCUCUUCAAGUUCACAAAUGUGCCUCCGUAUCUUAACUCUUCCUCGUUCACGUCUCUGUUCUUGGAUUGGGUGGCCUCACACCAUGUCUUUGAGUUCUCGAAUGACUAUGUAUACUAAAUCUACUACCAUGCGAAGGAGUAAGAGAAGGUGUACUCCUAAAUCUACGAGGAUAACGAGAAUCCUUCGUUGGGGCGUGAUGACGACCCUUUAAUGGUAGUUUCGAUAGAGGUAUACUACAGAGUUUAAUACACAGUAUACGUAGGAACCCAAGGUUCAUAUUCAGUAAGUAACGUCGAAAUCUAAGAUAUCUAGGAUAUGGUGUACUGACCGUUCAUCGUUAUUUCCUGGGUUCUACCUCUUGUUGUUACAAACUUCUCUACCUUCGUGAACUGUUUUUGUUAUGAACCUAGGAGUGGUGAGAAGGACGUCCCUUUUUCUGACACCCAACAUUUACCCAUAAGUGACAUUUUGUCUGAGGUCUUCCAUUUCACCUCUCCAUGUUCCGGUCCAAUCAUCGUUUCCCCAUAUCGGUUUGGAUACCUCAUCUAAUACUACUUUGAAAACGGGGUCAUCGCUUUUACUUGUGGUAGUCUUGUUAUUAGAGUUAACGUCGUUUGGCAUUAACCUUCAACAAAGUUUACCUACAAUUUUUACGUAAAGAGGUACCUCUGAACGUCCUUCUCCACAUAUACCUCUAAGGAGGUCCUAAGUUAUCGGCACUCUGACUUCCGUUCCAAACAUUUGAUUUUUUUAGGGAGAUACCAGACUUUGUUAGUGGAGCUCGUACCAAACCUUCCAAGUCUUUUCCUUAAACGAGGAACCCCAUAGCUGUUUCGUUACGACUAGUGUGAGAGAAGAAAUUUGCAGUAGUACUAUUCUAAUGAUAUGACUGACAUAUACAACUACUAUAUCAUUAGUGUCCCCUACUACAACUCCUCUAUAGUAUGAACUUCUUCUACUACCGAUUUUAUAAACUUCAAUUUCUGAACCCGAUAGAAGUAAUAAAAGACCCCUAACUUCAACGAAUACCCCGUGUUCCAUAAAUGGAAAGAGUUUCCUUCAUACAUGAACUAGAAGAAUUACUUUGUCCAUACAAUCCUACGUUUGGUCGCCGAUGUGGAUAACUCGUUUUAGUAGCAUGGAACCGUCUGAGUCCACUGGGGCAUCUGUUUAUGGUUAUAGUCUCCAAUCAACCGGCAAAUUAGAUAAAUAGCGUGUGUUCCGGUCUAUAACGUAUACGUCAAUCACAACAUUCGGCAAUAUACGUACUAGGAGCAAGUCCGGUAGAUCUCCACCAUUUAGCUUAAAACUCUAUAGAUUUUCCAACAGGUCCCUUCCCUUAGGAUAAAAGAUUAGUACCUGUAAACUUCCAUCUCCCUAUAUGACUACGUCUAACCCGACCUACAGAUCUACUAUCUGCCAGAUGUAGUCCAAUAACACACAAACAACUUCUAUUAGAUCAAACGACCUCUUCAUUUUUCGUUUCACACCACCGUGCUAGAUGACGACUCCGUCUUAAGUCCAGAUACCGAAGACCAAAUACACUUGACUACACCAACUCCUAUAAUGAUAGACUCGAGCCAAAUAAGCUACCUCCUGGUGAUGUUGAGAUAACACUAUUGGUUCGACGUUAGUUAUAUCACGUAUUAGGUCAAGUCGUACUAUCUUGAUUCGUACAACUUUAACUAUCUGGUAAUCUCUCUUCAAUCUACUCCCCUGGAAGCACAAUGAAAACAAUCUAGACUAUCAGUUAACCGUCUACAUGAAUGUUUUCCACAAUCACAACACAGAAAACAUUUGAAUACAUCGUUCUACCCUGAGUACCUAUAUAAGCGGGGUAGAACUCCCCCUCACAACCUCCAGGAUCGAAUCCUUUUAUCUUGACACAUCCCCGAUUAUACAUUAAACAUGUAACAUAUAUGUCUCCACUUCCUUCUCGUGGACUCCACUAACUUCGAAGUCCUUUAAAGGGGUGAUCUGUAGUUUAUAGUUCUAUAGUACCAUAGGGUAGAGCGAUUCAUAGUACAUAACUCUUUAUAUAGUUGAGUAGUAAACUGUUUACGGG